rnacentral:rRNA from 1 species
ACGGGGGUUGCAAGCGUUGUCCGGAAUUACUAGGCGUAAAGGGCAGGUAGGCGGAUCCAUAAGUUUUUUGUUAAAGGCAACGGCUUACCCGUUGUAAGGCAGGAGAUACUGUGGAUCUGGAAUGCGGUUGGGGAAGACAGAAUUCCUGGCGGAGCGGUGGAAUCCUGCGAUACUUGGGUGAAUACUGAUAGCGAGGGGAUACUACUAGGACGGAAUGGACACUAAGGCACGUAGGCGCGGGGAGUACUCAG